rnacentral:rRNA from 1 species
UACGGGGGGGGCAAGCGUUGUUCGGAAUUACUGGGCGUAAAGGGCUCGUAGGCGGCCAACUAAGUCAGACGUGAAAUCCCUCGGCUUAACCGGGGAACUGCAUCUGAUACUGGAUGGCUUGGAUUUGGGAGAGGGAUGCGGAAUUCCAGGUGUAGCGGUGAAAUGCGUAGAUAUCUGGAGGAACACCGGUGGCGAAGGCGGCAUCCUGGACCAAUAUUGACGCUGAGGUGCGAAAGCGUGGGGAGCAAACAGG